GAUGAACGCUAGCGAUAGGCUUAACACAUGCAAGUCGAGGGGCAGCACAAGGUAGCUUGCUAUCUGGGUGGCGACCGGCGCACGGGUGCGUAACGCGUAUGCAACUUGCCCUAUACAGGAGGAUAACCCGUCGAAAGACGGACUAAUACUGCGUAUGCUCACAACUUGGCAUCAAGUGGUGAGGAAAGAAAUUCGGUAUAGGAUAGGCAUGCGUCCCAUUAGCUUGUUGGUGAGGUAACGGCUCACCAAGGCAACGAUGGGUAGGGGAACUGAGAGGUUUAUCCCCCACACUGGUACUGAGACACGGACCAGACUCCUACGGGAGGCAGCAGUGAGGAAGAGUGGUCAAUGGGCGCGAGCCUGAACCAGCCAAGUCGCGUGAAGGAUGACUGUCUUAUGGAUGGUAAACUUCUUUUAUACGGGAAUAACAAGAGUCACGGGUGACUCCCUGCAUGUACCGUAUGAAUAAGCAUCGGCUAACUCCGUG
rnacentral:rRNA from 1 species